rnacentral:rRNA from 1 species
AGGUCAAGCGAACAAGGGCGCAGGGCGAAUGCCUUGGCACUGGGAGCCGAUGAAAGACGUGAUAAGCUGCGAUAAGCUUCGGGGAGCUGCAAAUAAGCAUUGAUCCGGAGAUCUCUGAAUGAGGAAACUCACCUGGGUUCAUACUCAGGUACGUUAUACUGAACUUCAAAAUAGGUAUAUCGAGGGAACCGCCUGAACUGAAACAUCUAAGUAGGGCGAGGAAGAGACAUCAAACGAGAUUCCGUAAGUAGUGGCGAGCGAACGCGGAAGAGGGCAAACCGAGAGUAGAAAUACUUUCGGGGUACGGACUGCUUUUAGGACUUAAUCUGUUAACCGAACGGCAUGGGAAGGCCGGUCAGAGAGUGUGAGAACCACGUAGGUGAAAACGACAAGAGCCGAGCGAAUUCCAGAGUACGGCCAGACACGUGAAACCUGGUCGGAAUACGGGGGGACCACCCUCCAACCCUAAAUACUACCCAGUGACCGAUAGCGUAUAGUACUGUGAAGGAAAGGUGAAAAGCACCCCGGGAGGGGAGUGAAAAAGAACCUGAAACCCUGUGCCUACAAGCACCUAGAGCACGUCAAUGUGUGAUAGGGUACUUUUUGUAGAACGGUCCGGCGAGCGAUUGUAUGCAGCAAGGUUAAGGACUUAAGGUCUGGAGCCGAAGCGAAAGCGAGUUUGAAAAGGGCGUUAAGUUGCAUAUAAUGGGCCCGAAACCGGGUGACCUACCCAUGGUCAGGUUGAAGUGGAAGUAAAAUUCCAUGGAGGACCGAACCGACCUCCGUUGAAAAGGCGGCGGAUGAACUGUGGGUAGCGGAGAAAUUCCAAUCGAACCCGGAGAUAGCUGGUUCUCCCCGAAAUAGUUUUAGGACUAGCCUCAAGUUAGAUACCUGGAGGUAAAGCACUGAAUAGCCUAGCGGCCGAGAGGUUAGCGAAGCUUAUCAAACUCAGAAUGCCAGAGUAUUGAUGCUUGGGAGUCAGACAGUGUCAGAUAAAUGUCAUUGUCAAAAGGGAAACAGCCCAGAUCUACAGCUAAGGUCCCAAAGUCAGGUUAAGUGGAAAACGAUGUGAAGAUACGCAGACAACCAGGAUGUUGGCUCAGAAGCAGCCACUCAUUCAAAGAGUGCGUAAUAGCUCACUGGUCGAGCGUCUUUGCGCGGAGAAUUUAACGGGGCUAAACCUGACACCGAAGCUUAGGCAGCAUGAUUACAUGCUGGGUAGGGGAGCGUUGUAUACGCGGUGAAACAGUAGCGCAAGCGGCUGUGGAGUGUAUAGAAGUGAGAAUGCCGGAAUGAGUAGCGCGAAUGCAGUGAGAAUCUGCAUGGCCGAAAGCCUCAGGUUUCUGGAGGAAGGUUCGUCCGCUCCAGGUCAGUCGGGAGCUAAGGUGAGGCCUAACGGCGUAGCCGAUGCACAGACGGUAGAGAUUCCGUCACCACCAAAAGAGUUAAACACAGGGACACAUAUGAAGUCUCGGAGCCGGGUGUUGGUUCCGGUAGCGAUCGAGGGAAAUUAGUACCGAAGUCCGGGAUGGAAGAUGGCGAGAAAAGCUGUGUGGAUUUCUGCGGUGCCCGUACCGCAAACCGACACAGGUAGGUAGGAAGAAGAUUCUAAGGCCAACGGGAGAAGGGUUGUUAAGGAACUCGGCAAAUUGACCCCGUAACUUCGGGAGAAGGGGUGCUGCAGCAAUGCAGCCGCAGAGAAUCGGCCCAAGCAACUGUUUACCAAAAACACAGGUUUGUGCUAAAUCGAAAGAUGACGUAUACGAGCUGACGCCUGCCCGGUGCUGGAAGGUUAAGAGGAGAUGUGCAAGCAUUGAAUCGAAGCCCCAGUGAACGGCGGCCGUAACUAUAACGGUCCUAAGGUAGCGAAAUUCCUUGUCAGGUAAGUUCUGACCCGCAUGAAAGGCGUAAUGAUUUGGGCACUGUCUCAACAGCCCGCCCGGCGAAAUUGUAGUACCGGUGAAGAUGCCGGUUACCCGCGACAAGACGGAAAGACCCCAUGGAGCUUUACUGUAGCCUAAUAUUGGGUUUCGAUGUUGCAUGCACAGGAUAGAUGGGACACUGGGAAGCAGGUGCUUUGGCGCUUGUGGAGUGGCCGUUGGGAUACCAUCCUUGCGAUAUUGGAAUUCUAACCUGCGCCUUUGAAUCAAGGCGGGGGACAUUGUUAGGUGGGCAGUUUGACUGGGGCGGUCGCCUCCUAAAGAGUAACGGAGGCGUUCAAAGGUUCGCUCAGCUUGAACGGAAAUCAAGCAAAAGAGUGCAAACGCAGAAGCGAGCCUAACUGCGAGACUGACGGGUCGAGCAGUAACGAAAGUUGGAGUUAGUGAUCCGGUGGUAUGUGAGUGGAAAUGCCAUCGCUCAACGGAUAAAAGUUACCCUGGGGAUAACAGGCUGAUCUCCCCCAAGAGUCCACAUCGACGGGGAGGUUUGGCACCUCGAUGUCGGCUCAUCGCAUCCUGGGGCUGUAUUCGGUCCCAAGGGUUUGGCUGUUCGCCAAUUAAAGCGGUACGCGAGCUGGGUUCAGAACGUCGUGAGACAGUUCGGUCCCUAUCUGUCGUGGGCGCAGGAUAUUUGAUGGGAGCUGUUCCUAGUACGAGAGGACCGGAGCGGACGUACCUCUGGCGCACCAGUUGUUCUGCCAAGAGCAUAGCUGGGCAACUAUGUACGGAUCGGAUAAACGCUGAAAGCAUCUAAGCGUGAAGCCGACCCAAAGAUAAGAUAUCCCAUUGUUUCAAACAAGUAAGACCCCUUGAAGACUACAAGGUUGAUAGGCACGAUGUGUAAGUGGAGCGAUCCAUUCAGCAAGCGUGUACUAAUAGGUCGAGGGCUUGACCACA